rnacentral:rRNA from 1 species
GCAAGUCGAGCGCGAAAGCACUUCGGUGUGAGUAGAGCGGCGGACGGGUGAGUAACGCGUAGGAAUCUACCUGGUAGUGGGGGACAACUCGGGGAAACUCGAGCUAAUACCGCAUACGCCCUACGGGGGAAAGCGGGGGACCUUCGGGCCUCGCGCUAUCAGAUGAGCUUGCGUUGGAUUAGCUUGUUGGUGAGGUAAUGGCUCACCAAGGCUACGAUCCAUAGCUGGUCUGAGAGGAUGAUU